rnacentral:rRNA from 1 species
AUAAACCGGAGGAAGGUGGGGAUGACGUCAAGUCAGCAUGGCCUUUAUAUCCUGGGCUACACACACGCUACAAUGGGAAGGGACGAAUAGGUUGCGAAGCCGCGAGGCGGAGCCAAUCCAGCAAACUUCCCUCAGUUCAGAUUGCAGGCUGCAACCCGCCUGCAUGAAGUUGGAGUUGCUAGUAAACGCAGGUCAGCCAUACUGCGUUGAAUACGUUCCCGGGGCUU